rnacentral:rRNA from 1 species
AGAGUUUGAUCAUGGCUCAGGAUGAACGCUGGCGACGUGGAUAAGGCAUGCAAGUCGAACGAUUCAGUUUCUUCGGAGACUGAGUAGUGGCAAACGGGGUAGUAACACGUAGGUACGAACCGAGAAGUCAGAGAUAACUCUGGGAAACCAGAGCUAAUACCUGAUAGUCCCUUCGGGGUAAAGAUUUAUCGCUUCUUGAUCGGCCUGCGAGAUAUCAGCUAGUUGGUAAGGUAAUGGCUUACCAAGGCCAUGACGUCUAGGGGAGCUGAGAGGCUGACCCCCACCAUUGGCACUGAGACACUGGCCAAACACCUACGGGUGGCUGCAGUCGAGAAUCUUCCGCAAUGGGCGAAAGCCUGACGGAGCGACGUCGCGUGGUUGAUGAAGUACUUCGGUACGUAAAGACCUUUUAUGAGGGAGGAAGUUCAUUGACGUUACCUCAUGAAUAAGGGGCUCCUAACUCUGUGCCAGCAGGAGCGGUAAGACAGAGGCCCCGAGCGUUAUCCGGAAUCAUUGGGCGUAAAGGGUGUGUAGGUGGUCGUGUUAGUCUCUUGUUAAAUCUUUGGGCUCAACCCAAAUCUCGCAGGGGAAACGGCACGACUAGAGUGUGGAAGAGGUCUGUGGAACCCAUAGUGUAGGGGUGAAAUCCGUUGAUAUUAUGGGGAACACCAAAGGCGAAGGCAACAGACUGGUCCAUUACUGACAUUGAGACACGAAAGCGUGGGUAGCGAAAGGGAUUAGAUACCCCCGUAGUCC